ensembl:miRNA
UAUUAGGUUGGUGCAAAAGUAAUUGCGGUUCUUGCCAAUUGAAAGUAAUGGCAAAAACAGCAAUUACUUUUACACCAACCUA